rnacentral:rRNA from 1 species
GACGAACGCUGGCGGCGUGCUUAACACAUGCAAGUCGAACGGAAAGGCCCUGCUUUUGUGGGGUGCUCGAGUGGCGAACGGGUGAGUAACACGUGAGUAACCUGCCCUUGACUUUGGGAUAACUUCAGGAAACUGGGGCUAAUACCGGAUAGGAGCUCCUGCUGCAUGGUGGGGGUUGGAAAGUUUCGGCGGUUGGGGAUGGACUCGCGGCUUAUCAGCUUGUUGGUGGGGUAGUGGCUUACCAAGGCUUUGACGGGUAGCCGGCCUGAGAGGGUGACCGGCCACAUUGGGACUGAGAUACGGCCCAGACUCCUACGGGGGGCAGCAGUGGGGAAUAUUGCACAAUGGGCGGAAGCCUGAUGCAGCAACGCCGCGUGCGGGAUGAAGGCCUUCGGGUUGUAAACCGCUUUCGCCUGUGACGAAGCGUGAGUGACGGUAAUGGGUAAAGAAGCACCGGCUAACUACGUG